rnacentral:rRNA from 1 species
GACAGAGGUGCCGAGCGUUAGGCGGAAUCACUGGGCUUAAAGCGUGUGUAGGCGGGUCGUUAAGUGCCUUGUGAAAUCCCACAGCUCACCUGUGGAACUGCUUGGCAUACUGGCGAUCUUGAGCCACUUAGGGGCAACCGGAACAAACGGUGGAGCGGUGAAAUGCGUUGAUAUCUACAGGAACUCCGGUGGCGAAAGCGGCGUGCUGGAUCUCUUCUGACGCUGAGGCUCGAAAGCUAGGGGAGCAAACGGG